rnacentral:tRNA from 1 species
GAGAGUCUAGUUAAUACAUAACAUCACCUUGUCAAGGUAAAAUAACAGGUUAAACCCCUGUGUCUCUCU